GAAUUGUUCACAAUGGGCGCAAGCCUGAUGACGCAACGCCGCGUGGAGGAUGAAGGUCUUCGGAUUGUAAACUCCUGUUGCUCGGGAAGAAUGGCUCCGACCUAACACGUCGGAGUGUGACGGUACCGGGUGAGGAAGCCACGGAUAACUCUGUGCCAGCAGCCGCGGUAAUACAGAGGGCGCGAGCGUUGUCCGGAAUCACUGGGCGUAAAGGGCGCGUAGGCGGCCCGAUAAGUAGGGGGUGAAAUCUUGCGGCUUAACCGCAAGGCUGCCUUCUAAACUGUCGGGCUGGAGCACGGUAGAGGCAGAUGGAAUUCCCGGUGUAGCGGUGGAAUGCGUAGAGAUCGGGAAGAACACCAGUGGCGAAGGCGGUCUGCUGGGCCGUUGCUGACGCUGAGGCGCGACAGCGUGGGGAGCAAAC
rnacentral:rRNA from 1 species